AGUUAAUCACCCUUCUCCACAGAGAUGAAAACAUUGGUACCUCAGAUUCCUCCGUGAAACAAGAGAAGCAUUCUCCUCCUCCUCAGCCAUUGCUGACACACCAGGUACCCUAACACACAACUGGUGCUCUGCUCCACUAGUGAUACGAACUGAAACAGAAAAGCCACUAAAUAUUUGUUCCAGUCCUCUAUCUUCCUCUGGACCUGAACUACCCAUUGUGAACAAGAAAGAUGCUGCAAUAUGACAUGAAAAGAGCUUACAGAGGGAAGUCUGCCAGCUGGCCACUGUCCUGAAAACUCUCUGGGAACGACAGAAGGCAGCAAGCUGAAUUGCUAAAAAGAAUCAUGGAGGAAGACAGAAAAUGCAGCUUAAUAGAGAUGCUGUAGAAACUAAAGCAGGAAACAGAAUAAAUUGGAUAAAUCUGCUGAUCACCAGGAAAAUGGUCACCUAAAACUGUACUCAAACUCCAGACCUAAGAAAUUAAACCUGAAUCACAAAACCAGUAAUUGUCUGGUAAGGAAAUUGGAA